rnacentral:rRNA from 1 species
CAGCACGGACUUCGGUCUGGUGGCGAGUGGCGAACGGGUGAGUAACAUAUCGGAACGUAUCCAAUAAUGGGGGAUAACUAAUCGAAAGGUUGGCUAAUACCGCAUACGCCCUACGGGGGAAAGCUAGGGACCUUCGGGCCUGGCGUUAAUGGAGCGGCCGAUAUCUGAUUAGCUAGUUGGUGGGGUAGAGGCCCACCAAGGCGACGAUCAGUAGCUGGUCUGAGAGGACGACCAGCCACACUGGAACUGAGACACGGUCCAGACUCCUACGGGAGGCAGCAGUGGGGAAUUUUGGACAAUGGGCGCAAGCCUGAUCCAGCCAUUCCGCGUGAGUGAAGAAGGCCUUCGGGUUGUAAAGCUCUUUCGCAAGGGAAGAAAACUUACCCUCUAACAUAGGGUGAGGUUGACGGUACCUUGAUAAGAAGCACCGGCUAACUACGUGCCAGCAGCCGCGGUAAUACGUAGGGUGCGAGCGUUAAUCGGAAUUACUGGGCGUAAAGCGUGCGCAGGCGGUUUUGAAAGUCAGAUGUGAAAUCCCCGAGCUCAACUUGGGAACUGCGUUUGAAACUCCAAAGCUCGAAUAUGUCAGAGGGGGGUAGAAUUCCACGUGUAGCAGUGAAAUGCGUAGAGAUGUGGAGGAAUACCAAUGGCGAAGGCAGCCCCCUGGGAUAAUAUUGACGCUCAUGCACGAAAGCGUGGGGAGCAAACAGGAUUAGAUACCCUGCUAGUCCACGCCCUAAACGAUGUCUACUAGUUGUUGGUGGAGUAAAAUCCAUGAGUAACGCAGCUAACGCGUGAAGU